AUACGGAGGGUGCAAGCGUUACUCGGAAUCACUGGGCGUAAAGCGCGCGCAGGCGGUCUUUUAAGUUGGAUGUGAAAGCCUACGGCUCAACCGUAGAACUGCAUCCAAAACUAUUAGACUAGAGUGUGGGAGAGGAAGAUGGAAUUAGUUGUGUAGGGGUAAAAUCCGUAGAGAUAACUAGGAAUACCAAAAGCGAAGGCAAGCUUCUGGAACACUACUGACGCUGAGGCGCGAAAGCGUGGGGAGCAAACAGGAUUAGAAACCCUAGUAGUCC
rnacentral:rRNA from 1 species